ensembl:snRNA U6 U6 spliceosomal RNA
GUGCUCGCUUCAGCAGCAUGUAUACUACAAUUGGACCGAUACAGAAAAGGUUAGCAUGGCCCCUGUGUAAGGAUGGCAUGCAAAUUCGUGAAGCGUUCCAUAUUUAU